rnacentral:snRNA from 1 species
AGCUUUGCGCAGUGGCAGUAUCAUAGCCAAUGAGGUUUAUCUGAGGCGCGAUUACUGCUAAUUGAAAACUUUUCACAAAAUGUAUUUGAAGACUCAACCCCAUGGACAUGGGAAAUGAUAGUAAGACUAAGUAAAUGGGACCGCAUGAAUCUGCAAAGCUUCUACACAUUAAAAAAGU